UUAGUGGCGCGGCGGGUGAGUAACGCGUGGGAAUUUGCCUCUAGGUACGGAAUAGCCCCGGGAAACUGGGAGUAAUACCGUAUGAUGACUCCGGUCCAAAGAUUUAUCGCCUAAGAUAAGCCCGCGUCUGAUUAGCUAGUUGGUGAGGUAAUGGCUCACCAAGGCGACGAUCAGUAGCUGGUCUUAGAGGAUGAUCAGCCACACUGGAACUGAGACACGGUCCAGACUCCUACGGGAGGCAGCAGUGGGGAAUAUUGGGCAAUGGGCGCAAGCCUGACCCAGCCAUGCCGCGUGAGUGAAGAAGGCCUUCGGGUUGUAAAACUCUUUCAGAUGGGAAGAUAAUGACGGUACCAUCAGAAGAAGCCCCGGCUAACCUCGUGCCAGCAGCCGCGGUAAUACGAGGGGGGCAAGCGUUGUUCGGAAUCACUGGGCGUAAAGCGUACGCAGGCGGAUAAGUAAGCUAGGGGUGAAAUCCCGGGGCUCAACCUCGGAACUGCCUUUAGAACUGCUUAUCUAGAGAUCGGAAGAGGAUGGCGGAAUUCCUAGUGUAGAGGUGAAAUUCGUAGAUAUUAGGAGGAACACCAGUGGCGAAGGCGGCCA
rnacentral:rRNA from 1 species